AAAAGCUUUCUUUAAUUGAAUAAUUGAAUUUAAUUUUUUAGUGCAAAAGCAAAAAUAAAAAUUAGGGACAAGAAGACCCUAUGAAUUUUUUAUUAAAUUUUAUAAAACUUUAUAUAAAGUUUAAUUUAAUUGGGGUGAUGGAAAAAGAAUAAAUAUCUUUUUUUUUAAAGAAAAUUGGUUCCGUUUUUAGCGAUUAAAUGAAAAAAAUACUCUAGGGAUAACAGCGUAAUAAUUUUGGAUAGUUCAUAUAGAUAAAAUAGUUUGCGACCUCGAUGUUGGAUUAGGAUUCUUUUUUGGUGAAGAAGUUAAAAAAAGAAGUUUGUUCAACUUAUAAUUUCCUACUUGAUCUGAGUUCAGACCGG
rnacentral:rRNA from 1 species